rnacentral:rRNA from 1 species
AAUUCAAGGGUGUGGCGCGAGCUCCUUAGGGAGCGAAGCAAUUGGAAGUGGUUCCAAGAAAAGCCUCUAAGCUUCAGUCUAACGAUGACCGUACCGCAAACCGACACAGGUGGGCGAGAUGAGUAUUCUAAGGCGCUUGAGAGAACUCGGGAGAAGGAACUCGGCAAAUUGGUACCGUAACUUCGGGAUAAGGUACGCCCUUGUAGCUUGACUGGCCUGCGCCAGGAGGGUGAAGGGGUUGCAAUAAACUGGUGGCUGCGACUGUUUAAUAAAAACACAGCACUCUGCAAACACGAAAGUGGACGUAUAGGGUGUGACGCCUGCCCGGUGCCGGAAGAUUAAAUGAUGGGGUGCAAGCUCUUGAUUGAAGUCCCGGUAAACGGCGGCCGUAACUAUAACGGUCCUAAGGUAGCGAAAUUCCUUGUCGGGUAAGUUCCGACCUGCACGAAUGGCGUAACGAUGGCCACACUGUCUCCUCCCGAGACUCAGCGAAGUUGAAGUGUUUGUGAUGAUGCAAUCUACCCGCGGCUAGACGGAAAGACCCCAUGAACCUUUACUGUAGCUUUGCAUUGGACUUUGAACCGAUCUGUGUAGGAUAGGUGGGAGGCUAUGAAACCGGAACGCUAGUUUCGGUGGAGCCGUCCUUGAAAUACCACCCUGGUUUGUUUGAGGUUCUAACCUUGGCCCGUGAUCCGGGUCGGGGACAGUGCAUGGUAGGCAGUUUGACUGGGGCGGUCUCCUCCCAAAGCGUAACGGAGGAGUACGAAGGUACGCUAGGUACGGUCGGAAAUCGUGCUGAUAGUGCAAUGGCAUAAGCGUGCUUAACUGCGAGACCGACAAGUCGAGCAGGUGCGAAAGCAGGUCAUAGUGAUCCGGUGGUUCUGUAUGGAAGGGCCAUCGCUCAACGGAUAAAAGGUACUCUGGGGAUAACAGGCUGAUACCGCCCAAGAGUUCAUAUCGACGGCGGUGUUUGGCACCUCGAUGUCGGCUCAUCUCAUCCUGGGGCUGUAGCCGGUCCCAAGGGUAUGGCUGUUCGCCAUUUAAAGAGGUACGUGAGCUGGGUUUAAAACGUCGUGAGACAGUUUGGUCCCUAUCUGCCGUGGGCGUUGGAUAUUUGAAGGGGGCUGCUCCUAGUACGAGAGGACCGGAGUGGACGAACCUCUGGUGUACCGGUUGUCACGCCAGUGGCAUCGCCGGGUAGCUAUGUUCGGAAGAGAUAACCGCUGAAAGCAUCUAAGCGGGAAACUCGCCUUAAGAUGAGAUAUCCCUGGGGACUAGAUC